CUUGCGAUCCUCAAGCGACCUACCGAUCAUCCGAUAGUCCUACGGCAUCGCCGGAAGGAUCACGUCCACGUGGUCUCCGGCCGAAAAUCGGAAAAGACGAAACGAUCGCCGUCAGGAUAUUCGCCGCGAUUGAUUUACGAAGCGAGGCAACGAAACGUACCGUCGUCGAUGCAGCGGGGCUGAAACCUGAAAAGGACGCCGAAUGAUAUGGUGGUGGAGUGUUGGCCGAGGGUGUGUCUUUUUCCGCUUUGCUGCCGCUGAGUUGGAGACCGCCAGCAAAGGGGAACAGGCCGACUCUCCCGCACGAUAUUGCCAAACUAAUUGUUCGAUUGACCAUCCGCCUCAUGCGGAAGCUGAAACGACCAAGAACACCGUCGACUGGACAUCUAGUCAAGAUCCCACUGUCAAUCCAUCGUUCACAACCGGCCGACUGGACUUUAACAACGAUUUGUGUACUGUCAAAGCAUGCCGAAUUGAUGUACCGCCCGAAAUUUUCAACGUCGGGGCUAAAUUUUACGAACGCGUGCAAUCCUUUUGAGACAAAGAGGAAAUGAGGCGGCUCCAUUUCGUCACGAGAUAAUCGAAGACAGUAACGUCAACGUAUAAAUUAAACGUGGUGAAGGGAGCAUAAUCAGUAUUUUCCAACUUGAGGACAUCUUUGAAGGAGUUGACUUUGCAGAAUAUACCGGGUUAUUCCCGUGAUGUAUCGUUCAUUUAAACCGUGCAACAGGCGUGAUGCGUGAAUUCCGAUUUCCCCACUAUUUCCCUCUUACCUCGCUCUGGUCGAACCUUCUUCAGGAUACAGUCGACCGAUAAUUCCCGCGGCCUAUUAUUAACCCGAAAGUAUUUCGGUCGUUUGUGCCUCUCUCAUUUACACCCGCCACUUUAACUGACUACAUCCUCCCAUCGUGCAUACUGGUGCAGUAAGUGGGCUUGAUCCCUUCUGCAGUUGAAAGUUUAAAACGCGUUCCGUGUCAGCUGAUAUUCGAAGUGGUUCCGGGGCUUGAUCGCUCACUCCGUAAACAAUCACCCGCUCAAUUUCGGUGAUUCAUAAACGCCUCAAGUGUAUCUCAGCGAUUCGGCUUAAAUCGAUUUCCCGCACUCGAAGAGUGUACGCUUCUAAACCUUUGAUUAAGGAACCAAAGUUCUGCACGGCGAACCGUACAGUCGAAGAUGAGGAUAAACGGAAUUCAAGUUCGUAGCGUUAACAUUACAAUAUCCUUUUUGGAACGACUCCUUAUUUCACAACAUCAGGAUUGUCCAAGAUUCAAUAAAUCGUAAUCGAGCAACAACAAAUAUCGCAUAGUUAUACAGACCUGAGAUGCGCGGCAUAGGGACUCCUAAUUAUAGGCAAAUCAGGACACACAUCAACUCUGAGCAGCUCCGAGUUUCACCGAGGCGACAUCAGCCGCGUGAUAACAAAAGAGCAUCGGAGCUGCUCAGGGUGGACUUGUACCCGGGUUUGCCAACAAUCAGGCGCACAUCGUACAAAUAACCCGCUACAUUUUGCAAGGUCAACUCCUUCGAAGAUAUCCUCAAGUUGGAAAAUAGUGAUUCUGCUUCUUUCAUCGCGUGUCGUUCAUACGUUAACGUUACCGGCUUCAAUUGUCUCGUGACAAAACAUAGUCUUCUUUAUCCCAGGAAGGAUUUCACAUGUUCCUAAAAUUUACCCCCGACGUUCAAGAUUUCGAGCGGUAUAUGAAAUCGGCAUGCUUCGGUUGAUCAGUAGCCGCAUGAUGAGUGCGAAGUCUCGUCUCCUUUUUCGGGGCAAUAAAGAUGGCUGCGAUGGCCCCCGGCUUCUGUGUCAUUCGACUGCAUGGAGACGGCAUUCACACGUCUGAGUUAUACAGGCGUGUUACACACACCAUGACGUAUAUCCAAAACUGUUUAACAACCCGCUAACUAACGCCGACCGUAUACCUCGCGGCCCAUUUAUAUUUAACUUUAACUUUAUUACCGAAACUCUGCACGGGCUCGCCGUACCUCAUGGUGUUGUACGUGUGUGUUUGUGCGUCUGUGUGUCUACAGAUUGCCGAGCAGAGUUAGGAGUUGUCGGCUAUUAAAAUCGUUUCAUCGUCGUUGAAAAUUCCUGACGAAUUAUUGUACCUGUAUCAUGUGGCAUCCGUUUUAGUUAUUGGCUGCAGAACGUGCAAUUGUGACCCUAUGUUCUCUGCAAAAUACGAUUUUCUUACAAUUAGAUUUUCCUUCAGUUCUUCUCAAGAAAAAUAGACAAACCAAACCACCUUGUCGGAUACGUGGAACAAUCUUUACACCGCGGGCUUGUACAAACAGACGCGAUUUCUUCGCUGUAUAGCAGAUUGAUUAUAAAUCUUUCAUAACCGCGGAGUUUUAAAUAUUUCUUAUUCACGGUAAUAAAUUUUCACCCUCACGUUUCAUAUACCUACACCAGAAACAACACGCGGUUCUAGGUGUCUGGAUAAAUUAAUCGACCUCUUAAAUUAAACAACGUUAUAUCGUUCUUCUGUAUCCCCGCGCACGCGUUACACGAUCAUGACGAUGAAAAGUUUUCGGUUUGACUCGAUUCUCGAGUCGAUAGAAAAAUUUUCACGCAAUUACACCAUCAACGAUGAGAAAUGUUUGAAAAAUUAGAAUUCCCUGCUGCUUUCGUUUUUCUUUUUCAUGUUUUUUUUUCACAGAAACUUCUUGUUCGUUCUUCGCUCUUCGUUCGUCGGUCUUCUUCUUUGCAACUGCAAGUGCUACAGCCUUUGAUGGUUCAGACCGCCGACCGGCUGCUGCAGUUAUACCUAUGCAUAUAACAUGCCGCAACCGUAGUCUCAAGACUCGUGUCGCUCUCAGCGAUUUAUGACUAAUCGUUAGCCAGUCAGCUUGUGUUUUCCACCGCCUAGUACGUGACGAGGGGUACGUGCCUCUUUUGUCAGCCGAUGUAUCAGGUCGAAAUUAGCACUAUAUGCAACGUUACAUAUUGUCCGCAACGUUCCGUUUAGUUUCGUGUUUAGUUACCAAAUCCCACGUUGCGACGUUUGUGUCUUUCUAUUUCUCUCCAUCCUUGUUCGGGCUAUUUCGAGUUUAGUCAGUCUGCACUUUGCUCGCCAGUCCGUAAACCAGAUCGUAAACUUUCCUGUAUGGCAACGAGACGCUUACGCCUCCGCUCCUUACUUUCUGUGCACCUUCACCAUACGAAUUGAACGUGUGCAGUACGUGACACCCAGCCGUUCCGGUCUUUUGCACCCUCUGUUGGAUGAUAGCCGAACAGUUCACCAGUGCAAGUAUCUUAUUUACCAGUAUUACCGUGUAUGAAUGCACCUGUAAUAUAUGAUACGAUGUUAAUUGUUUCGCCUAGGAUGGAAAGAACGAAGCUUCGUCAUAGUCAACUCGCACGCAGGCAUGUGCUACCAUGAAUCUCAUGUCUCGUUUUCUUCUUUUCUCCCGAAGACGUUAGAUUAUAUUUUUUCAUCAGCUUCUUAACUUCCAGACCGUGAGGCACGGCUGCAGGGAUAUAUUUCACCGGGCGCAAUCUGUUUGGUGUUAACUGGCUGGUAGAGGUCUUUCGACGCCACGGCUUCCCGGCGCCGCGACGCAUAUGCCGCAAGGACUCCCUCGCACCAAAGAACUCGAAGACCGCGAACGGAAGCGAACGGAACGGAACGACCGCGAUGUUGGUUCGUUCGUUCGUGUGGGUCCUAUUUUUGGAUCAGGAGAGGUAAUAUUUCUGUUGGCAGUAGGUUUCUACAGCGCGGAACCAAGAAUAGAAAAGAACACGUUAGACUUCUAGUCUCUUGUACGAUUACCACGAGUAUGACGAUGCUGCAGGAUCGUCCCGAAGGAUGUGCUACCGCUGUGCGUAACUCUUCGUGAUCCUUUCAUGCUGCAGGCUUUUUACAUCCCUGAGCUGAAAUACCGAACGAUGCAGCUGGCUCUCGCCAUUGCGAAUGAUAAAUACGUAUUGUUAUAUGAUCGUCUGGGGGGAAACGGCGAACGGAAACGUGGAAGUAGUUUAUCCGACACCGAUGUAUAAAUAACCGUGCCUGAAGGAUCGGAAAACAGCUGGACCUUGAGUGUGGAUUGGGUGAUCCAGUUCUCCAAGGUAACCGCGGUUGUGUGCUUCGGGAACUUUGAAGGGUUGAGAUGAAAGAUCCGAGCGAAACCGCAAGCGUGUAAAACGCCAAAACGCAGGCACCGAGGUAACGGGAGCGAAAGGUAAUAAAAUUCUAAUGACCGUUUUCUUAUUUGACGUUCCUGAUUUUAUCAGAGGUAAUUGCCCAUUAUAACAUACGAGGGAAUUGUUUUUACCCACAGGCUCGAGCUUACAUCACAAACCUCGUAUACAAUAUACACGAAUCGGAUAUCGUGUAAAUAUUCGUGUAAAAAUUGACGUAGCGUUUGUUGAUCAAAUCACACGGUUAUAUGUUUCAUCUCCGGCUGAAAGACCCCUUUCAUAGCUAACCGCAGAGAAGGAAAGGAAAAAGAGGAAAAAUUGAAAAGAAGAAGAUGAAGUAGAGUCCAAGGGGAAAAAAACCAUUUCGUAGAAUCACGGUGACAGCCAAAGUCCAAGAUCUAUGAGAUGUAGCGUAGCAGUUCUCUAAAUAUCUCUGUUUCUUGUUGUGGAGCGAGGACUGGCACUUGGGGAGCGAUACAAUAAUGACCGUGGUACCAAAUUUUUACCCACCAAUGUAAAAGUGCACCAACCAUUCCUCUCCUUCUUCUUCUUCUUCUUCAUCUUCUCCUUUUGAGGUGAAAGAUGAAUAUAUCGUUGCAUCAUCGCCGAGUACGUGUAUCCCAAAUAUCUGGAUGUCGUUCAAUUAUAAUGUCAAGCUCCGGAAAUGUGCAACGUCUGCAGUCCGUUAAUUUGCCGAAAUUAUGAAGGACAAUAACUUGCUUCGAAAAUUUGGCACUGCGGUUUAUCUAUAACUUGUUCUCGUAGAAUACCGAAUUGGAAUAACCGACGGUACGCAUCAGCGGCAUGCUGCAACCUCACAGUCUGCAACAAAGUUCGCGAUAAUUUAGUGUCGAGAAAUGAAAUCAGCCGUAUCUUCCCUCUCCCCCCGCCCUGCCCGCUCAGGUCUUAUUCUUGGCAGCAUAGGCUGUUCCAUUUGUGAUGAGCAGUGCAUUACGCAGGUCUUCUGAAAGCUUGGAAGACCAUAGUUGAAUCAUGAUUCAUGCCAAGAAGAGGACUGCAGGACAACACGGCUUCGACGACGAACGAAUUUUCGGAUCUCUGCUUACAAUUUGUCGGAUUUAUGGAUGUGCUAAACGAUCACUCUCAUCAGCCGUCGAGAACGUGCAUGUACAAUGAUGGAGUGGAAUCCGUUGAUCGAAACUCGUACAGCUGGUUCUGGUUGUUGAGAUGAGUGGAGAGUUUGGCGCCGAGGCUUGUGAUAUGAUUUACAGUCCAAUCGCUUAACACAUCGAUGUACCUACUACGAACAUUUAUGCAUCGUGUACACUGUUAUACGCGUUUUGCGUGCGUAGAUGAUCUUUGCCCAAAUGUAUGCGUGCAUGUAACGACGAUGAAACUUCUUCUGGCCACAAAUUUAAAUAAAAUUAUGUAGACGCAACGCUGGUGGGGGAAUUGGGAGGGGAAUGCGUUGACGUAACUAGUCCGCGUCUUUGGACGACGAUCGUUAAAUCGAAAUCAAAAGUCUAAUUUACGAGUGCUAAAAUUAUUACAUCAUUGAAGUUGGCCCGCCUCGGUUUGCCGUGCAAUUUUUCACGUCAUUCAUACACCGGUGUCUGGCGUCUUUCGGAAAAUUAACGAGAGCUUCUCCAACUGGUGUUGUUCAGUUUCAUUGUUAUCGGACCAUGCUUUGCAAAACUGUAAUAUGCACUCAUCGUGAAUUUCUGCGGAGUUUGCAAGCCUGGGGAUAGACAAGGCUUGUAAAAAAAUACAACUCGAUGGUUGCAUUAUUUUUUUUAUUCUUAUUAUUUCCGAAAUGUGCUGUAUGCUCAUACGAUCAAUUUAGUAAAGCCGACUUGGAUAUUAUAUUGGCACAGAAAUCUUCACUUGAACUUUCAUAUAUCGCAACAUAUAUCAAAUGCCAAAGAUUUUGGCAGAGCGCUCGAAUUUAAAUGGGAUUUUUUAACACGAAUAUUCGACUUUCGUGUGUCUAAGCUUUAUUUCAAUUUGUCAAAGUGGACACCUUUUGACCCCUUCAAUCGUGCCAACUAAGAUGGAAUUGAAAGAUGAAAACCAGAAGUGAAAAAUUAUUGGACACAUUGUGUUACAGAAAAUCCCGCCAAACACGCAAAAAUUUAUUCCGAUGAAUCUAUUACAUGCAUAAACCAGCGCAAAACUUCCGCAGCAUGAUUUUAACACGUGUUCGAUAGCAUCUGGCCACCGAUACUUAAAUUAGCUGAUCACAGCGAGAAAAAUUGUUGGUAUUAUCGGUAUACCUAGGAAUGAGAAAAAGAUGGAUGAACCGCGUAUAGGCAGCUAUUUUUUGGUCUGUGUAAACACGAUCACUCCAAACCGCUGUUCUUUUUGGUUUAGACUGAAACUCGGGCGGAUUCUUUUCUCAUAUUCUUCCUUUUUUCUCCUCGUGAUGUCACGUAAAUUGGCCCGAAAAAGAAAGCACAGAAAAAUACAAUUGUAGAAAGCAAGAUAUAACUGAUAAAGCAGAGGAAAACAAUUAAGUACUGUAAGAAUUAAAGGGGCUGAAAGAUAAUCGUACUGAUUGCCGUGGAUAAUUGCGGAUAAAAUGAUCAGAGGUCAUGUGACGAAUAAUAAGAGCGGCUGGCUUUUGAUCCACGACUGCGCACUGGUCUAUAUAUAGAUAUAAUAAUGUAUAAGCCUGUGAGGUGCAUAACUGAAGAGCAUUGCUUUACAACUCGAGCUUCAAGUGUGCAACAUUGUGAAUUUUUCGGGCCAACGGAGAUAUUAAAUAAAGUGUUGACAGAUA